rnacentral:rRNA from 1 species
AACAAACGCUGGCGGCGCGUUUUAAGCAUGCAAGUCGGACGGCAAGAGCUGUAGCAAUAUGGCUCCUAGAGUGGCGAACGGGUGAGUAACACGUAGGUGAUCUGCCCUUGGAUGGGGGAUAGUCCGUGGAAACACGGGGUAAUACCGCAUGAGGCCUUGUGGGUAGAGCCAUGAGGUGAAAGGUGCAAUUGCACCGUCUGGGGAUGAGCCUGCGGUCCAUUAGGUCGUUGGCGGGGUAAGGGCCCACCAAGCCUGCGAUGGAUAGCCGGCCUGGGAGGGUGUACGGCCACACUGGAACUGAGACACGGUCCAGACUCCUACGGGAGGCAGCAGCUAAGAAUCUUCCGCAAUGGGGGAAACCCUGACGGAGCGACGCCGCGUGGACGAUGGAGGCCGUAAGGUUGUAAAGUCCUUUUCCUGGUGAAGAAUGACCGUGGGAGUGGAAAGCCCAUGGGAUGACGUUAGCCAGGGAAUAAGCCCCGGCCAAUUACGUGCCAGCAGCCGCCGUAAUAC